CCCCGAGAUGAGUUCUCCCUGACUCCUUGAGAGUCCUGAAGGAACGUUGAAGACGACGACGUUGAUAGGCCGGGUGUGUAAGCGCAGCGAUGCGUUGAGCUAACCGGUACUAAUGAACCGUGAGGCUUAACCUUACAACGCCGAAGGUGUUU
rnacentral:rRNA from 2 species